GCCAAAAACACUAAGGAAAAAUAAGAGAGAGUUCGGCCAAGGCUAGGAAAACAUAACUUCUUGAAAUUUCAUCCCAAAAAUUACUUUCUCUUAGUAUUCCUACUAUAUCAAGGGUCCUUUAUAACAUGGUAAACUUAUUUUGGAAGAUAGAAGGCUUGUUUGGUUGAUUUGAAGCUUUGGUUAAGUGAAGAAGUUAGAAGGAAAAGAUUUUGAUGGAAACGGGAAUUAAAGUUGGACAACCGUAAAAAGCCGAUAAGGUACCGAAGUUUGAUUUGCUGAUCCGCCAGUUUAGGACAUCUGCUGUGUUAUUGAUAGUGCUCUCUUGUUCGGAGCUUGUAUUUUGGUACUGACUUUAUCUUUGUAUAUUUGGAUAUGUUGGUCAGGGGUACGACGGGGCCCUGUCCCAUCUUAUAACUAUGCUAUCAUCUUUAGAGGUCUGUAGACAGAGUUAUGUUGUGGGUUUUGUACAUAUGUCUUGGAUUUUGUUUGUUUCAUGAUGGUCUA